UAGCUCACUGGUCGAGUCGGCCUGCGCGGAAGAUGUAACGGGGCUAAACCAUGCACCGAAGCUGCGGCAGCGACGCUUAUGCGUUGUUGGGUAGGGGAGCGUUCUGUAAGCCUGCGAAGGUGUGCUGUGAGGCAUGCUGGAGGUAUCAGAAGUGCGAAUGCUGACAUAAGUAACGAUAAAGCGGGUGAAAAGCCCGCUCGCCGGAAGACC
rnacentral:rRNA from 1 species